rnacentral:rRNA from 1 species
UACGGAGGGUGCAAGCGUUAUCCGGAUUCAUUGGGCGUAAAGGGUGCGUAGGUGGCGUCGUAAGUCAGGUGUGAAAUCUCGGGGCUUAACUCCGAAACUGCAUUUGAUGCUGCGGUGCUUGAGGACUGGAGAGGAGACUGGAAUUUACGGUGUAGCAGUGAAAUGCGUAGAGAUCGUAAGGAAGACCAGUGGCGAAGGCGGGUCUCUGGACAGUUCCUGACACUGAGGCACGAAGGCCAGGGGAGCAAACGGG